UACGAAGGGGGCUAGCGUUGUUCGGAAUUACUGGGCGUACAGCGUGCGCAGGCGGCUAUCCAAGUCAGUGGUGAAAGCCCGGAGCUCAACUCCGGAACUGCCAUUGAAACUGUUUAGCUCGAGUACGAGAGAGGUGAGUGGAAUUCCCAGUGUAGAGGUGAAAUUCGUAGAUAUUGGGAAGAACACCGGUGGCGAAGGCGGCUCACUGGCUCGUAACUGACGCUCAUGCACGACAGCGUGGGGAUCAAACAGG
rnacentral:rRNA from 1 species